rnacentral:rRNA from 1 species
UACGUAGGGAGCAAGCGUUGUCCGGAAUCAUUGGGCGUAAAGAGCGCGCAGGCGGUCGAUCAAGUCGAGUGUGAAAGCCCCCGGCUCAACUGGGGAGGGUCAUUCGAUACUGAUCGACUCGAAGGCAGGAGAGGGUAGUGGAAUUCCCGGUGUAGUGGUGAAAUGCGUAGAUAUCGGGAGGAACACCAGUGGCGAAGGCGACUACCUGGCCUGUUCUUGACGCUGAGGCGCGAAAGCGUGGGGAGCAAACAGG